UACAUGGGGUGCAAACGUUGCUCGGAAUCAUUGGGCGUAAAGCGCGCGUAGGCGGUUACUUAAGUCGAAUGUGAAAGCCCUCGGCUUAACCGAGGAAGUGCAUCCGAAACUGAGUAGCUAGAGUACGAAAGAGGGUCGCGGAAUUCCCGGUGUAGAGGUGAAAUUCGUAGAUAUCGGGAGGAACACCGGUGGCGAAGGCGGCGACCUGGGUCGAGACUGACGCUGAGGCGCGAAAGCGUGGGGAGCGAUCCGG
rnacentral:rRNA from 1 species